rnacentral:rRNA from 1 species
UCGGAUUGUAGGCUGAAACUCGCCUACAUGAAGCUGGAAUUGCUAGUAAUCACAGGUCAGCAUACUGUGGUGAAUACGUUCCCGGGCCUUGUACACACCGCCCGUCACACCAUGAGAGUUGAGAAUACCCGAAGCCCAUGUCAAAGUGGUCGAGGGUAGGCUUGAUGAUUGGGGUGAAGUCGUAACAAGGUAUC